rnacentral:rRNA from 1 species
UACGUAGGGUGCGAGCGUUGUCCGGAAUUAUUGGGCGUAAAGAGCUCGUAGGCGGUUUGUCGCGUCGACUGUGAAAACCUACAGCUUAACUGUGGGCUUGCAGUCGAUACGGGCAGACUUGAGUUCGGUAGGGGAGACUGGAAUUCCUGGUGUAGCGGUGAAAUGCGCAGAUAUCAGGAGGAACACCAAUAGCGAAGGCAGCUCGCUGGGACGGUACUGACGCUAAGGCGCGAAAGCGUGGGGAGCGAACAGG